UUCACCCAGAUAUUCUGUGCGAUUACAGCUGCAGUCUUUGGCUGCAGGCAGUGACCCUGAGUGGUUUGCCUAAAGAGAAGGGAGACUCUUUCAGCUCUCCCCAUCUAUCUGGGUGACUUUGGUUAGGGUUUCUUUACCAUGAUAGAGGGACAGGGUGUAAAGCAGAGUUGAACAGAACAGAGGCCAGAGGAGCAGAGCAAGAAGAUGCAGAGCCCUUGGCCCAGGAGGCUCUAGGCACCGGAGGGGAGGUGAUCCGGGUGAGUACCGGUGAGCAAGGGGGUCUGCCACCUUCUAACAGACAGUCCAGUGCUUCAGGGACCCUGCCGGUA